GGGCGCAUAGCUCAAUGGUAGAGCAGCAUCCUCUUAAGAUGUCGGUUGAAGGUUCGAGUCCUUCUGCGCUCA
rnacentral:tRNA from 1 species